GAAUGUAGUGAACAGGAUGGGGAGGGAGAAUAGUGUAACUGCAAGGACAGUGCAAAAGAAUCCAAGGCAGUACUCAAGGUGUGAUGUAAUAAGGGGGCUGGAGCUGGCAAUGGAAAUGGUAAGAUUAGAAAGCUAUAAGUUAUUGCAAAAGAAGAACUAGGAUUUGGCUUCCUGAUUUACCCUAGAGAACAGCCAACCUGAGAGUUUGGCUCUACUUAGAAUUUAACACCCCCCAAAAAAUCACACUAGCUCACCAGCAAUGGAUCCAAACCAAGAUGAAAUCCCUGAUUUACCUGAAAAAGAAUUCAGGCCAGUUACUAAGCUAAUCAAAGAGGCACCAGAGACAGGUGAAGCCCAAUUUAAAGAAAUAAAAAAAAAAAUAGAGGAAAUACGGGGAGGCCAGGCAUGGUGGCUCAUACCUGUAAUCCUAGCCCUUUGGGAGGCCGAGGUGGGUCGAUCACUUGAGGCCAGGAGUUCAAGGCCAGCCUGAGCAACAUGGCAAAACCCCAUCUCUACUAAACAAAAGAAACAACAACAACAACAACAACAACAAAAAUGAGGGGAGAAAACUUCAGUGAAAUAGAUAGCAUAAAUAAAAAACAAUCGAAACUUCAGGAAACAAUGGAUGCACUUAGAGAAAUGCAAAAUGCUCUGGAAAGUCUCAGCAAUAGAAUUGAACAAGCAGAAGAAAGAACUUCAGAGCUCGAAGACAAGGUUUUCAAAUUAAUCCAAUCCAACAAAUACAAAGAAAAAAGAAUAAAGAAAAAAUGAACAAAGACUCCAAGAAGUCUGGGAUUAUGUUAAACAACCAAACCUAAGAAUAAUUGGCAUUCUUGUGGAAGAAGAAGAGAAAUCUAAAAGUUUGGAAAACAUAUUUGUGGGAAUAAUUGAGGAAAACUUACCCAGCCUUGCUAAAGACCUAGACAUCCAAAUACAAGAAGCUCAAAGAACACCUGGGAAACUCAUCGCAAAAAGAUCAUCGCCUAGGCACAUUGUCAUCAGGUUAUCAAAAGUUAAAAUGAAGGAAAGAAUCUUAAGAGCUGUGAGGCAAAAGCACCAGGUAACCUAUAAAGGAAAAUCUAUCAGAUUAACAGCAGAUUUUUCAGAAGAAACCCUACAAGCUAGAAGGGACUGGGGCCCUAUUUUCAGUCUCCUUAAACAAAACAAUUAUCACCCAAGAAUUUUGUAUCCAGCGAAACUAAGCUACAUAAAUGAAGGAAAGAUACAGUUUUUUUCAGACAAAUGCUGAGAGAAUUCACCACUACCAAGCCAGCACUACAAGAACUGCUAAAAGGAGCUCUAAAUCUUGAAAAAAAUCCUGGAAGCACAUCAAAACAGAUCCUCUUUAAAGCAUCAAUCUCACAGGACCUAUACAACAAAAAUACAAUUUAAAAAAAAACAACCCAAGGUAUACAAGCAACAAAUAGCACAAUGAAUGGAAUAGCACCUCAUAUCUCAAUACUAACAUUGAAUGUAAAUAGUCUAAAUGCUUCACUUAAAAGAUGCAGAAUUGCAGAAUGGAUAAGAAUUCACCAACAAACUAUUUGCUGCCUUCAAGAGACCCACCUAACACAUAAGGAUUCGCAUAAACUUAAGGUAAAGGGGUGGAAAAAGACAUUUCAUGCAAAUGGACACCCAAAGCAAGGAGGAAUAGCUAUUUCUAUAUCAGACAAAACAAACUU
rnacentral:lncRNA from 1 species